rnacentral:rRNA from 1 species
UACGAAGGGGGCUAGCGUUGCUCGGAAUCACUGGGCGUAAAGGGUGCGUAGGCGGGUCUUUAAGUCAGGGGUGAAAUCCUGGAGCUCAACUCCAGAACUGCCUUUGAUACUGAAGAUCUUGAGUUCGGGAGAGGUAAGUGGAACUGCGAGUGUAGAGGUGAAAAUUCGUAGAUAUUCGCAAGAACACCAGUGGCGAAGGCGGCUCACUGGCCCGAUACUGACGCUGAGGCACGAAAAGCGCGGGGGAGCAAACAGGGA